rnacentral:lncRNA from 1 species
GCUGCAGGACAGGUUGGCUACUGGCUGAUCUUUGGAACUAGAAACAUCAUUUUGCUCCUUAAAUGAUUAAAAAAGGCACACAUGGGGCUUCUUUGUGUUAGUUCUUUUGUAUCUCCAUAUCCUGUCCCUGCAUGGAUUAUUUUGGUGCAUGCUGCAGACUUGUUUUUGGAACUUGAAUCCUGAGCAAGUGAGAAGACUUACUGGAUGCUGUUCAAGGCUCUGCAUGACAAACCUUGCACAAAUACAAGGUCAGAGAAAUGGCAGCUGGAUCCAGGAAGAUGAGAAAUUUGAGCAGGCUUAGAAGUUGGCAGCCUACAACACAUUGAUUUGUGUCUUUUUUUUUUUUUUCAAGCCUACCUUUUCUUUGUCUUUUUCUGAUUUAUAAAGCUACAAAACCAAAUAUAAAUCUUGUAUUUGUAAGCCACUUUCCACAUUAUUCAUCUAAUAACCCUCUGUGUGGCAUACACAUUAUUUUUUCCAUAAACUGAAGCACCAUAGAGGGUGAGAAUGACUUGUCCAUUAUUUGGAUAUACAAUUUAUCUAUUCAUUCUUUUAUUGAUAGACAUUUCAGCUAUUUACACUUAGGGACUUUUAUAAAUAAAGUUACUAUGAACAUU